ensembl:lncRNA
CCUUAUCUAAAACACAGGAGAAAUAAGGCUCCCUCGGGUCUCUACCAGCUCAUUAUAUAUCCCAGACUGGAAAGUGGCUCCAGCCCCAGGUGUCAAUCAGGACUGAGGGUGAAGGGCAAAGGCAUUCCAGGAAUAAGCUCCGAGAGCCACCACUGCACCAUCGACGCCCCACACGCACUCGCCUCAAUGACGAGUCGGACCGACUCCAGGCACUCGAUGCAAAAUACAAACCAAGAUGGGACCAGCACCUCCAGAUCCAAACCCCCGACGACCCGAGACGGGCGCCCCGCCCAGGAAAUAAGCUGGAUCUUUCUACUCAUCAUGGAUCAGAAACCAGCUACUGACACGACAAUGAGGGGGCUGAUCUCAGAGGAGGGAAAUACCUCCCCCCAGGGCUGAGCCAACUGAAUGCUCUGUGCAAAUAAGUGAGAAAACUAUCAAGCCAGGCUUUGAGAAUCCAUCACAUGUUAGCGUUCAUGUCCUACUGGCUUCCAGAAACAUAACUGGAUGGUGUUCUGAGUCCGCCACGUCCUUCCACAGCUCGGACCCCCCCCCCUCCGCAGAGCACAGAGCGCCCCCUCCCAGGUCCAGGGUAGGCAGGGCUGGCAUGGGGACAGAGGUGAGCCAGAGAGGCCGCAAGAAGAGAAAGGUGGCCUUUCGACACCACCUUCCCUUCUGCUCCCCCUGCUUCCCUCCACUCCUCAGUCACGGGGAGGAGGCAUGAAGUCACAGCUCGUGGGAGCUGAAGUCAAGGCCACGGUCCUUUGGCAGCGCACUGACCCAUUCCCCUAGCAGACAGGUGUCUUUCCCGUCACACAGUUAGGCUCCAUUCCUGACGUCUGGCUGCCUGGGAAGAAAGUGGGGGAUCCUCUCUCCGCCAUGCAGGACCUUCGGGCCACCCAAGCCCAGGCAGACAGGCCAGCGAGCCCUCGGCAAGCUCCCCCUCCAAACACAGUGAUGGCCAAGCCAGUCUUCGUGCCCUGCUUCUGAGACACCUUUUGGCUGCCCAGUGCUCCCCACCAUAGCUUCGGCAUGUGACGAGAGCCCUGUCGCUCUCUCUGGGUGUACAUGUGGCCUCAUCGGCCUGACCGAUGAACCAAACGUUGGGCAGGAUCUCCCAAGUCUGUGCUUCUCCAAGUGCUGCUUGGGACUUCAGUCCACCCUUCUCCAAGGUCAUCACUUAGCAAACCAGCUCCUCCGGCAUCUCUCCAACAGCCAGUGGGCUUACAAACUAACAGGCAUCCAUCAGGAUCCACCCAACCAGCCCUUGACUUUAGACCAACAUGUGUGAGCCUCGCUUCCCACCCCACUAGAGCAGGUGGAGAAAUACCGCCCCCUUACCCAACGGGGACCUGGUGAGGGACACAGGCCGGCACUGCCAGCGGGAACACCUACACAGCACCAGGAGGUGGCGGCCCCCUCCCCAACACCCCGCCCUCUGGCUCCCUUCAGGUUCUGUUCUAAAGGCUUAGAUCACUAAAACAAAGUAAGACAACCCCUCUGCUCAGUACACGUACACCAAACCCUAGUCUAAGAAGCAAGAACAGAGAACUUUCACUAUAAUAUAAUACAUAUGGGUUAACAUCAGGCAGAAGCUCUCACACCGUGAAACACUGAAUUUCACACCCCUCGCCUCACCAAGGCCGACCUCUGGGGUUCCCUUCCCACUGCUGAGCCUGCUGGAAGACGGGAGUAUUUUGAUCACGCCACAGAGAAUCCACUUACAAAGGGAAAGCACUUCUCCCACUUAAAACAACACCUGUAAUGAGGAAGCUCCCCCCUUCAUGCAGAACAACCUAAAUCUAGCAACCACCCCGCCAGGCUGAUGAGCCAAAUAUCAGGGUUAGGAUAAAGUGUGUCCCAAACCUCUUCCAACUCUUUAAGGUCAUGGCUCCAAUACUCAUGACCUUUUGGUCAUCAAAUUAAAGUUUAGAAGAAACACAAAGAACCGUUGCUUAAGGUGCUGAGAAAUCAGGUCUCAACGUCGAAGCGGGUCCGGGGGGAUCUCGGGGAAACUGUCCGGGUCUGGCUCUGGCUGACGGGGGCCAGGCGCUCCUUGGCCCCCGCGUCUUGGCUGCCCAGCUGCGCAGACGUCAGCCAGUGUCCCCCUGCACUGGCACCGCCCUCCCUGCGCCAGCCCAAGUGACACGUGGCCAAUUCCUGGAAAGAGAUAACGGCUGGAAAUCACAUGUGCCGCCGCCUGCAAAGUCUUCACGAGCUCAAAUGUCACCACAGAAACCUCUGAGAGAGAGGGAAACAGCCAAGGGUCAGACACCGACUUCUGCAGAUAUCCAGUACCCUUGGAGAAAAGGUCAUUCAACAUCAAAGUCAGCAAGAAACGCGUCAAAAGAUAACUACACGUCUCGUAAGGCGCUUCUCCGCCUUCAGCAUCCAGCACAACAGGCAGCUACUGAACCCAACCUCCCCCAGCACUAACCCACAGGCGUUCACACAGUAACCCCACACUUACCAGUGUCCCACUCUCUCUGGAACACUGUGCCCAGUACUGAGGAUGAAGAGAUAAGAGCCUGGACCAAAGAAGACAAAGCUGUGAUUAACGAAUUCUAAGACAAGACAGUAACAGCAGUUGGGUGUAUGUAUUUAGUACCUACUAUGUGCAAGUCCAGCGGGGCUCAAAACGUGGUCCCUGAAUCUCUGGGAACCCAAGAAGCUUUUAGGGGGGUCCAAAACUAUUUGCAUUGUGAUACAAAUAAUUUUUUGCCCUUUCACUGUAUUGACGUUUGCAGUAACGGUGCCAGUGCAACAGAGGUUAAGACUGCUGAUGCCUUGGCACAAAUCAAGGUAGUGACACCAAACUGUGCCAGCAGUUCUGCUGGUUUUCACCUCAUGUACUCACAAAGGGGGGGAGCCAGUCUCACUAAGAACGCCCUUGAUGAAACAGUAACGAUGAUUCUUCCUAUUAAGUCUCCACCCUUGAGUAAAUCUCUUUUUAAUAUUCUACAUGAUGAAAUGGCAAGUACGUCAAUGGCCACCUUGACAUAAAGCUCUUAAAUGUGUGGCAAUGGUUUGGGCUGCAUGCGCUGAACUAGCCACUUUUUUCACAAAAUAUCCUUUUUACCUGAAAGAACAAAUAACAAACAAUAGUUAUUCAGACUUGCCUGUUUUUUAAUAUUUGAGAAAAUGUUUGACAAAAUGAGCCUGUUACUUCAAAUCUGUAUUGCUAAUGGCAUAAAUUUGAGCUUUCACCUGGAAUUUUAAACUAUGGAAAACACUUAACUGCCACCUAACCUUGAGGCUUUUUAAUCCUCAAAAGACUUUUCUGAUGAGAUCAAAGACAAGUCAAGUGUAAUUUUAGAUAGGUAGACAGGUAGAUGAAAUAUAUCAAUAUCUGGAAGAACUGCAUAACUUGGUAAACCAAUACUUUCCAAAUGAUCAAAGCAUGAUGUUACAAAACCUUACCCUGUAUUGGUAAAAUAUCCAAAGUGCAAGCUAGAUCAAUACAUUUUAAUGUGAUAGAACAAAUGGUUUCCGAUUCCACAGUCCAAUCUCUAAUGAACUACCACCUGUUAAGUUUCAGCACAGUAUCAAAGAAUCCCCACAUUAAAAUUUUUUUAAAGGCUAUUCCUAAAAUACAAUCUCUUCAUUAACAUCAUCCUUGAGGGUGAAAGACUGAGAGCUUUUCCUCUACUGUCAGGAACAAGACAAAGGUAUCGACUCUCCAUACUCCUAUCCAACACAGU